AGUGAACGCUGGCGGUAGGCCUAACACAUGCAAGUCGAACGGCAGCACAGUAAGAGCUUGCUCUUACGGGUGGCGAGUGGCGGACGGGUGAGGAAUUCAUCGGAAUCUACUUUUUCGUGGGGGAUAACGUAGGGAAACUUACGCUAAUACCGCAUACGACCUACGGGUGAAAGCAGGGGAUCUUCGGACCUUGCGCGAUUGAAUGAGCCGAUGUCGGAUUAGCUAGUUGGCGGGGUAAAGGCCCACCAAGGCGACGAUCCGUAGCUGGUCUGAGAGGAUGAUCAGCCACACUGGAACUAAGACACGGUCCAGACUCCUACGGGAGGCAGCAGUGGGGAAUAUUGGACAAUGGGCGCAAGCCUGAUCCAGCCAUACCGCGUGGGUGAAGAAGGCCUUCGGGUUGUAAAGCCCUUUUGUUGGGAAAGAAAAGCAGCAGGUUAAUACCCCGCUGUUCUGACGGUACCCAAAGAAUAAGCACCGGCUAACUUCGU
rnacentral:rRNA from 1 species